rnacentral:rRNA from 1 species
UGGGGAAUAUUGGACAAUGGAGGAAACUCUGAUCCAGCAAUUCUGUGUGUGUGAAGAAGGUUUUAGGACUGUAAAACACUUUUAGUAGGGAAGAAAAAAAUGACGAUACCUACAGAAGAAGCAACGGCUAAAUACGUGCCAGCAGCCGCGGUAAUACGUAUGUUGCGAGCGUUAUCCGGAAUUAUUGGGCUUAAAGGGCAUCUAGGCGGUAAGACAAGUUGAAGGUGAAAACCUGUGGCUCAACCAUAGGCUUGCCUACAAAACUGUUGAACUAGAGUACUGGAAAGGUGGGUGGAACUACACGAGUAGAGGUGAAAUUCGUAGAUAUGUGUAGGAAUGCCGAUGAUGAAGAUAACUCACUGGACAGAAACUGACGCUGAAGUGCGAAAGCUAGGGGAGCAAACAGG